GAGCAGUAUUGCCUGAGUGCGCACGCGCCGUGGUCGUAGCUGGAAGCCAAUGGACGGCCGGCAAUAGCGGCUGCACGAAACUCUGAGCUACCAGCACGUUAUUCGGAGUCCGCGGCUGGCGCUCUACUGGCCGAGCUGGGCAGCGACUGCCGUGCCAGGGGGCGCCAUCGUACCACCCAGGGCAUGUUGGACAGAAGCUACAACAGGGACACACAGCAGUACCACCUGAAAGUUAAGGAGCUCAGGCAAGCCUACCAAAAGACAAAGGAGGUAAACGGUCGCUCCGGGUCAGAGCCCCAUACAUGCCACUUCUAUGAUCAGCUGCAUGGCACUCUGGGGGGGACCCUACCACUACCCACCACUGUCUAUGGACAUCUGCAAGGGGGGAGUCUCAUGCAACAGGGAGGAGGAUUUUGUGGAUGAGGAAGAGGAGGGGGAGGAGAAUGCUCAGCAGGCAAGCGGUGAAUCCAUUCUCCCUGACAGCCAGGACCUUUUCGUCACGCUGGAGCCAAUACCCUCCUAAGGUGGGAUCCCCGACUCUGAAGCUGGAGAAGGCACCUCUGGUGCAAAUGUUUCUACGCUCCCCCUAUCAUCUCUCUCCCUGAGGUUAUCACAGAUUAGAAGGCAAAAAAAAUGCACUCGCGAUGACAUGUUUUCCAAGCUCAUGCAGUCCUCCCACACUGAUAGAGCACAGCUUCAUGCAUUCAGUGGCAGAGGCCAGGAAUGAAUUAAGUGAGUGCAAAGAGUGGAGGAAACAUGCGAUGCUGAGGCUAAUGGGGGAGCAAACAGACAUGAUAAA